CAAUGUUCCCAAAGGAUAUUUAUGAAGUAACUAAGGGAGAAACAAAUAUAAGAAAAACAGAAAAGCAUGGGAAUAACUGGAGAUGAAGAAACAAUUAUGGAAAGGUCAACAAUUUUCCAGAUGUGGAUUGAAGACCCUAUAACAUCUCUGACACUCUUUAAAGAGGUUGGAAGCACCAAGUUCUGGAAGCUAGAUGUGGACAUGGACAAUGUUUUCCUUAUAGAGAUGAAGCUAGAAAUAGGUAUUUCUCAUAAGGCUGAUUAGAUUUGGCUUACAAAAAAAAAUCAAUGAUGCUUUUGGAAAAUGAAAUUCAACUUAAAAAACAACAAAGUUCAUGACCUUCCUGGUAAAGCAAGUUUGAUUAAAAUAAAGAGGAAACACAGUUUUGAUUUAUUGGCUAA
rnacentral:lncRNA from 1 species